rnacentral:rRNA from 1 species
AACGAACGCUGGCGGCAUGCCUAACACAUGCAAGUCGAACGUGACCUUCGGGUCUAGUGGCGCACGGGUGCGUAACGCGUGGGAACCUGCCCUUAGGUUCGGAAUAACUCCCCGAAAGGGGUGCUAAUACCGGAUAAUGUCUUCGGACCAAAGAUUUAUCGCCUUUGGAUGGGCCCGCGUUGGAUUAGCUAGUUGGUAGGGUAAAAGCCUACCAAGGCGACGAUCCAUAGCUGGUCUGAGAGGAUGAUCAGCCACACUGGGACUGAGACACGGCCCAGACUCCUACGGGAAGCAGCAGUGGGGAAUAUUGGACAAUGGGCGAAAGCCUGAUCCAGCAAUGCCGCGUGAGUGAUGAAGGCCUUAGGGUUGUAAAGCUCUUUUACCCGGGAUGAUAAUGACAGUACCGGGAGAAUAAGCUCCGGCUAACUCCGUG